GUGCUCACUUCAGCAGCACAUAUACUAAAAUUGGAACGAUACAGAUGUGAGCAUGGCCCCCCACAAGGAUGACAUGCAAAUUUGUGAAGUGUUCCAUAUUUUU
ensembl:snRNA U6 U6 spliceosomal RNA